AGUGUAACAAUGUCCUUUGUCUCUGACCCAGGCAUCUCUUGUCUUCUUCCAGAAACCAUGACACUAUGGCAGGCCAACUUACUAGCUUUCAAGUAAGGUAACAUCUCAGACCAUCAUAGGUUUUGACAGGGGAAACUCUGAAGGACCACAGGAGUUGGAGGUUCCACGUAUCUCUAAGUAGUAACAUACGAUGGGUCCAAAACAGAAGAAAGAGAACUCAAGAUUCCCGAGCCACAGAGCUGUUGAUUGGAGGCUGACUCAGAGAAACCCUGGAUUCAGUGACAUACAGAGACAACAGGUACAGGAUCAGUAUGGGUUUUAAUUGAGGGGCUCGGCACCAAAUGACAGACUUGACACAUCCACCCCCACCAUGGAUGCUGUCCGUCCACUGUUGCACAAUGUCCUUCAGUGUCUAAUUUACAGAUCCAGCUGUAUUUCCCCUUCCACCUGCAUCCCUGAAGUUCCUCCCACCUGAAAACUUCACCUGACCCAAGAAAGCAAAGGAAAAAACCCGGAGAGCCAGCUCAUAGUCUGGUUCACUGUUUAACAGCCAGAAGCCAGAGCCUGCGUACUAGAAGUGGAUGCCCAGGAAGUACUUGUGAGCUGACUAAGAAUGUAAGAACGCCACCCACUUCAUUCAGGAAAGUGAGGCAGGAUUCCAUGGAGUAUGAAUGACUGCACAUGGAACAAGCAGGUUAUCAUUUAUAUUCAGCAAGGGACCUCCAUGAACAGGACAUUUGGGGAGCUGCUAUCAAACAUCAGAACUUCUGACACUGUGCACACAGUCUUAUAUUGUGCCUUGUCUGUUGUGAUGUCUCACUACAGUAAUGAUUAAGAUGAUGAGCACUUAAAAAA
rnacentral:lncRNA from 1 species